GAGAAGGAGAGAGCGGAGAGGACCCGGGGCAGAGCACGAAACCACCACAAAACCAGGGAGGGAAAUCCCCUUCCUAGCCACCGGCUCCGAGCCACAGUCCGAGGAAGCUUAAGAGGAGCGGUCAGCAAUGUCACCAACUUAGCGAGCGGCCCGUCCCGGGCCGGGGGCUGCCCUGCUUCCCCACCCCCGACUCCGGGGAGGCCGCUGGAGGGCUGCCCGAGGGCCCCCUGGGCCCCCGAGCCAGGAAAGUGAGUCUCUAGAGUAGCCUCCCCCGAAGUGUGCGAAGGCGGCCGGGACCUCCAGGGAAGGACCCAAGAGUCCUUCUCCCAGGAUCCCGCGGGUCCCGAGGCCGAGGAAUAGCGGGGAGGGGGCGACGACGCAAAUCCCUCCGGAGCUCCUGCCCAGGUGGCUCUUCCUGGUUCCACCUUCCACACCCAGUGUCAUCAACUGACAGGUAAACCCAAGAGCUUUGAGAGUGGCGGCAUCCCUUCAGGCCACUGGUCCUGCUUCUGGCUCAGAUCCUGCAGCCAUAAUAUGAAAAAAUAAUGGAGAAGAGGCCAGCCCAUCCCACCAAGUGCUGACCAAUUGCCAUCUGUGAGAUUAUGAUAAUGGUUUCCUGGAAUUGAAUGAUAUAAUGCUAGAAAUGAAAGAUGUUUAUUCGCCAUGAAGAUUCCACAUGCUGGCUUCCUGUCAUAAUCAAGUAGAGUUACUCACAUCAUUUAUGGUUUCCAGUCUUCCCUGUAACUCAUGCUGUGCAUUUUAGGAGUUCUGGGUUUUAUUUAUUUAUUUGUUUAAAUUGAGCCUUCCUGUCCUCAAAAGGAAAACAGACACAGGCUCUGUGUGUGUGUGUGUGUGUGUGUGUGUGUGUGUGUGUGUGUGUGUGUACUUUUCUGUAUUUACUGAAUUGGAGUGUUCUCUCUUAAAUUAAUUUUCUGGGAAGCUUUGCUUGUAAUAAAGGAUAACAUAUUUAAAUGA